rfam:Ictidomys tridecemlineatus contig141848, whole genome shotgun sequence.
UGUUAUAUAGCUCAGUUGGUAGAGUGCUUGCCUUUCAUGCACAAGGCCUUGGGUUCAAUCCCCAGCACCACAA